UACAGAGGGGGCAAGCGUUAUUCGGAAUUACUGGGCGUAAAGGGCGCGUAGGCGGCCACCGCAAGUCGACUGUGAAAUCUCCGGGCUUAACCCGGAAAGGUCAGCCGAUACUGCGGGGCUAGAGUGCAGAAGGGGCAACUGGAAUUCUCGGUGUAGCGGUGAAAUGCGUAGAUAUCGAGAGGAACACCUGCGGCGAAGGCGGGUUGCUGGGCUGACACUGACGCUGAUGCGCGAAAGCUAGGGGAGCGAACGGG
rnacentral:rRNA from 1 species